UUUCAAGUAAUAAUGUAAAAUAAUAAAUUAGUAGUAGAUAAAUACUUAAAAAUUAAAAAAUUUGGCGGUAAUUUAAUCUUUUCAGAGGAAUUUGUUUCUUAAUCGAUAAUCCACGCAAUAUCUUACUUAUUUUUGUAAAUAGACAGUUUGUAUACCAUCAUUAUCAGGUAAUUCUUAGAGGAAAAAUUACUAAAUUUAAUUGUUUGUGAAAAUUAGAUCAUGGUGCAGCUUAUAAAUAAGUAGAAAUGAAUUACAAUAAAUUAUCUUAAACGGAUUAGUAAAUUAAUUUUUAUUAUAAAGGAGGAUUUGAUUGUAAAGAAGGUUUAAUAAGCCUUCUUGAUAUAAAGCACUAAAAUUAUGUACAUAUCGCCCGUCGCUUUCAUUAUAAAUGGAAUAAGUCGAACUA
rnacentral:rRNA from 1 species